AUGGAGACGCCGCCCCCAUGGAGGGUCCUCGAGUUCUACAGCGGUAUCGGCGGCAUGCGGUACGCCCUUGCGUCGUCGGGCGUUCGAGCGGAGGUGGUGGAGGCCUUUGACAUCAACGACGUCGCGAACGACGUCUACGAGCACAACUUCGGCCACCGCCCCUGCCAGGGAAACAUUCAAACACUCACUGCUGGUGAUCUAGACAAGUACCAGGCACAUGCAUGGCUCCUUUCUCCUCCAUGUCAACCAUAUACACGGCAAGGACUUCAGAAACAUUCAGCUGAUGCUCGGGCAUUUUCAUUUAUAAAGAUUUUAAACCUUAUGCAAAACAUGAGCUUUCCUCCACAAAUGUUAUUUGUGGAAAAUGUUGUUGGAUUCGAGGUGUCUGAUACACAUGACCAGUUGCUAGCAGUCCUUUCAACUCUCAAUUUCAACACACAAGAAUUCAUCCUAAGCCCCUUGCAGUUUGGUGUCCCAUAUUCUAGACCACGCUACUUCUGUUUGGCAAAACAGGAAUCUAUGUGUUUUCCAAAUUCAUCAGUCAAUGACAAGCUGCUUAGGACACCUACAUGCCUAACAUUGAACACUACGAGAACUCAGAAUAGCUAUGAUCAGAAUGAAGAUGAUCUGGAAGUAGUAUGUAAUCCAAUAAGAAACUUCCUUGAAGCACAGAGCAUUGGAGAUAAGGAAUGUUCAGCCAUCAUCUCUGACUUUAAGGAGGCUGAUGAAUGCACUCCAAUUGAAACUGCUUCACAUGACUACACAGUUCCACUAAACUUGAUUGAACGGUGGGGAAAUGCUAUGGAUAUUGUAUACCCUGAAUCAAAACGGUGCUGCUGUUUUACUAAAAGUUAUUAUUGCUAUGUGAAGGGCACAGGCUCUGUACUGGUUACAUCUAAAAACCUCAAACCAGUUCCAAAAGAGAACCUUGAAAUGUCUUCACUGAAUGAGUUGGGUCUACGGUUUUUCACCCCUCAGAGAGGUCGCAAAUUUGCAUUCAUUUCCCCCGAGUUUCCGUUUUCCGGAUCACAUAAGCCUCAGACAACAGUAUGCCAUGCUGGGUAA
rnacentral:rRNA from 1 species